UUAAAUUGAAGAGUUUGAUCAUGGCUCAGAUUGAACGCUGGCGGCAGGCCUAACACAUGCAAGUCGAACGGUAACAGAAAGCAGCUUGCUGCUUUGCUGACGAGUGGCGGACGGGUGAGUAAUGUCUGGGAAACUGCCCGAUGGAGGGGGAUAACUACUGGAAACGGUAGCUAAUACCGCAUAACGUCGCAAGACCAAAGAGGGGGACCUUAGGGCCUCUUGCCAUC
rnacentral:rRNA from 1 species